rnacentral:rRNA from 1 species
AAUCCCUUAUCGAUUAACAAUUAGAGGGCAAGUCUGGUGCCAGCAGCCGCGGUAAUUCCAGCUCUAAUAGCGUAUAUUAAAGUUGUUGCAGUUAAAAAGCUCGUAGUUGGAUUUCGGCGUGCGCUCAGGCUGGUCGGCCGUCAAGGUCUGUACCGUUUGGGUCACGCCCCACUGUAGGAUACUCACCGCUGUCCUUAACUGGGUGGCGGUCAAAGGGGGUGUGCAUGGGGGCAACUCUGUGCAUAUCUCUGGGGUUCCUACUCUUUUACUUUGAGCAAAUUAGAGUGUUCAAAGCAGGCAAUCGAGCCUUGAAUACUUCAGCAUGGGAUAAUGGAACAGGACUGGGGUCCUGAUUUCGUUGGUUUCUGGGAUCUCAGUAAUGAUUAAUAGGGAUAGUUGGGGGCAUUAGUAUUUAAUUGUCAGAGGUGAAAUUCUUGGAUUUAUGAAAGACAAACUUCUGCGAAAGCAUUUGCCAAGGAUGUUUUCAUUAAUCAAGAACGAAAGUUAGGGGAUCGAAGACGAUCAGAUACCGUCGUAGUCUUAACCAUAAACGAUGCCGACCAGCGAUUGGGAGACGUUACAUGGAUGACUCCCCCAGCAGCUUGCGAGAAAUCACAAGUCUUUGGAUUCCAGGGGGAGUAUGGUCGCAAGGCUGAAACUUAAAGGAAUUGACGGAAGGGCACCACCAGGAGUGGAGCCUGCGGCUUAAUUUGACCCAACACGGGGAAACUUACCAGGUCCAGACAUAGUAAGGAUUGACAGAUUUGAGAGCUCUUUCUUGAUUCUAUGGGUGGUGGUGCAUGGCCGUUCUUGGUUGGUGGAGUGAUUUGUCUGGUUAAUUCCGUUAACGAACGAGACCUUAACCUGCUAAAUAUGUCACUGGUAGACUUCUGCCAAAACAGGUGGGUGUCUAGGGGAAAGUUUCGAUGGACUCCGACGCAUUCAUCUGUGGAUGACUACCAGGAUGUACUUCUUAGAGGGACUAUCUGUAUCAAAGCAGAUGGAAGUUUGAGGCAAUAACAGGUCUGUGAUGCCCUUAGAUGUUCUGGGCCGCACGCGCGCUACACUGACAAGUUCAACGAGUUUAACACCUUGCUCGAUAGGGCUGGGUAAUCUUUGAAAAACUUGUCGUGAUGGGGAUAGAUCAUUGUAAUUAUUGGUCUUCAACGAGGAAUUCCUAGUAAGCGUGAGUCAUCAGCUCGCGUUGAUUACGUCCCUGCCCUUUGUACACACCGCCCGUCGCUCCUACCGAUUGAAUGAUCCGGUGAAAUGUUGGGAGCUGGGGUCUUUUGGCGGCGGGGCAACUCGUCGUCAGGGAUUCUGCAAACUUCAUUAAACCUUAUCAUUUAGA